CUAGUUGGCGGGGCAACGGCCCACCAAGGCGACGAUGUCUAGGGCUUCUGAGAGGAAGGUCCCCCACACUGGUACUGAGACACGGACCAGACUCCUACGGGAGGCAGCAGUGAGGAAUAUUGGUCAAUGGGCGCGAGCCUGAACCAGCCAAGUCGCGUGAGGGAUGACGGCCCUACGGGUUGUAAACCUCUUUUGUCGGGGAGCAAAUUCCGCCACGUGUGGCGGAGUCGAGAGUACCCGAAGAAAAAGCAUCGGCUAACUCCGUGCCAGCAGCCGCGGUAAUACGGAGGAUGCGAGCGUUAUCCGGAUUUGUUGGGUUUAAAGGGUGCGUAGGCGGACUGUCAAGUCAGCGGUAAAAUACGGGGGCUCAACCUCCGCCCGCCGUUGAAACUGACGGUCUUGAGUGGGCGAGAAGUAUGCGGAAUGCGUGGUGUAGCGGUGAAAUGCAUAGAUAUCACGCAGAACUCCGAUUGCGAAGGCAGCAUACCGGCACCCGACUGACGCUGAAGCACGAAAGCGUGGGUAUCGAACAGGAUUAGAUACCCUGGUAGUCCACGCAGUAAACGAUGAAUACUAGCUGUCCGGG
rnacentral:rRNA from 1 species